rnacentral:rRNA from 1 species
CUACGGGGCGCUGCAGUGGGGAAUAUUGGACAAUGGACCAAAAGUCUGAUCCAGCAAUUCUGUGUGUUUGAUGAAGGCCUUCGGGUUGUAAAGAACUUUAAGUAGGGAAGAAGAAAGUGACGGUACCUACAGAAUAAGCGACGGCUAAAUACGUGCCAGCAGCCGCGGUAAUACGUAUGUCGCAAGCGUUAUCCGGAAUUAUUGGGCAUAAAGCGCGUCUAGGCGGUUUACUAAGUCUGAUGUGAAAAUGCGGGGCUCAACUCCGUAUUGCGUUGGAAACUGGUAGACUAGAGUAUUGGAGAGGUAGGCGGAACUACAAGUGUAGAGGUGAAAUUCGUAGAUAUUUGUAGGAAUGCCAAUGACGAAGGUAGCUUACUGGACAAAUACUGACGCUGAAGCGCGAAAGCUAGGGGAGCAAACAGGAUUAGAUACCCCUGUAGUC